AGCAGCAUGGUGUAUGGUACACGUGGGGUUCUCUUAAGCCUUGGAAGAGGGAAGAAUUCACUCCGAGGUCCUCGUUUGAUUCGAGGUGCUGCUC